rnacentral:tmRNA from 1 species
GGGGAUGACAGGUUUCGACAGCGUGAUACGAGUCCGGUCGUGCUUCUGUUCGGGAUGGCAACGGUUCCCGUCACCCACCGCUGCGCACCAUAUCUGCCAAACUGACAGAUCGCGUUUCCGAUUUCGUGAGCAAGGUCACAGGCUUCGCAAGAAGCUUCGUGCCUUCGUUCGCACCGGCAUUCGCCUAAGUCCGCACGUGCUGCGGACACGUCUCACCCCCGAUUCUCGCUACGGGGAUGAGGCGCCACCAGCGAGACAGGCAGAGCGUCUGAUGUCGCGCUCCGCCUGACUUCCGACAUCAUCCUCCGCACCUUUCCUUGUUCCUUCCUCAGGGGUGCGGAACGCGGAAGGAACACGACAGUACGAGCCAUCGCACUCCACGUUGGACCCGGGUUCAAUUCCCGGCAUCUCCACCA